rnacentral:tRNA from 1 species
GGAGACUUGCCAGAGUGGUUGAAUGGGACACUCUCGAAAAGUGUUGUGCUCGCAAGGGCACCCAGGGUUCGAAUCCCUGAGUCUCCG